rnacentral:rRNA from 1 species
GACGGACGCUGGCGGCGUGCUUAACACAUGCAAGUCGAACGAUGACGACCGAGCUUGCUCGGUCUGAUUAGUGGCGAACGGGUGAGUAACACGUGAGCAACCUGCCCUUCACUCUGGGAUAACCUCGGGAAAUCGGGGCUAAUACCGGAUAUGAGCUCCUGUCGCAUGGCGGGUGUUGGAAAGUUUUUCGGUGAAGGAUGGGCUCGCGGCCUAUCAGUUUGUUGGUGAGGUAGUGGCUCACCAAGGCGAUGACGGGUAGCCGGCCUGAGAGGGCGACCGGCCACACUGGGACUGAGACACGGCCCAGACUCCUACGGGAGGCAGCAGUGGGGAAUAUUGCACAAUGGGCGAAAGCCUGAUGCAGCGACGCCGCGUGAGGGAUGACGGCCUUCGGGUUGUAAACCUCUUUCAGCAGGGAAGAAGCGAAAGUGGCGGUACCUGCAGAAGAAGCGCCGGCUAACUACGUG